GGCAGUUCUCAACUUGCUCCUUGGCUGUUCUCCUGACACUUAAGUCAGAGCAUUCUGUAGCUGUAUUUUACAGAACUGUAAUUGCACAGAUUGUUCCUCUUACAAGAGAAAUAUCCAGAGCUCUAAGAAAACAACUGAUGAAAACGACAUGCGUGACAUUUGGUGCUGAAGACCCAGGUCAGAGAGACUCCUUUGGGGGACCAGUCCGCUGUCCUUGCCCUCACUCUGUGAGGAGACCCACCUACGACCUCGGGUCCUCAGACCAACCAGCUCAAGGAACAUCUCACCAAUUUCAAAUCGGGACCCCACUGGAAAAUGGACUGUCCAACUCACCCGGCAGCCACUCCCAGAGCCCCUGGAACUCUGGCCCAAGGCUCUCUGACUGACUCCUUCCCAGAUCUUCUCGGCUCAGCAGCUGAAGACUGACACUGCUUGAUUGCCUGGGAAGCCUAUAGGACCAUCACAGACACUUUGGAUAACUCUUACAGUGAAGGUGUCUGGAGUUUCCCCUAUGGACGCUCUCUCCUGCCACCAUGUAAGUCUUGCCUCUCUUUUCGUUUGCCUUCCACCAUGAUUGUAAGUUUCCUGAGGCCUCCCCAGCUAUGUGGAACUACAAAAAAGCGCCACUGCAGGGAGGAAUGCCAGGGUCCCAUAGAGGGAGACCGACAGUGAAGUGGAGCCUGCCAUGAAUUCACCAAAGGCCAUUCUCCCUUUCUUCCAGAAGAACAGCAUUUAGCUGGGCCUAUGGCUACCUACCUAAAGACUGCACCUCUUAGUCACCCUUGUGGCCAGGUGUGGCCACGUGACAGUGGAAUGUAAGUGGAAGUGAUGUAUGCACUUGGGUUCAUUGGUUUAAAAAAAAAUAUGACCGCCCUCCAUUUCCACUCUUUGUCUUAUCUGUGAAUGGGAACAUGGCUGUGUCUGCAGCCCGACUUUGUGCAGCAAAGGACAAGGCCCUAGGGGAAGGUGGAGAAACAAGAUGGAACAACUUGGACCCAACAACUUGGAUCCCUAUGUGGCCAUGUGGAGUCAUCUCACCCACCUGGGCCACUCACCCCGAAGACUGUUGUGUGAGGGUGAAAUAAACUUCUGUAUCACUAGCCCCUGCAUUUCAGAAAUUCUUUGUUAUGGCAGUUUUGCCUUUAUCCUAACACAGACAGCAAAGUAUCUUCUGUGGCCCCAUGACUAAUUUCGUUGUUUAAACUCAUUAUAAAAACUAUAUAAAUAAAAUAUUAAAAA
ensembl:lncRNA LNCOG lncRNA osteogenesis associated